rnacentral:rRNA from 1 species
GGUGACAGGUGGUGCAUGGUUGUCGUCAGCUCGUGUCGUGAGAUGUUGGGUUAAGUCCCGCAACRAGCGCAACCCUUAUUACUAGUUGCCAGCAUUAAGUUGGGCACUCUAGUGAGACUGCCGGUGACAAACCGGAGGAAGGUGGGGAUGACGUCAAAUCAUCAUGCCCCUUAUGACCUGGGCUACACACGUGCUACAAUGGCGUAUACAACGAGUUGCCAACCCGCGAGGGUGAGCUAAUCUCUUAAAGUACGUCUCAGUUCGGAUUGUAGGCUGCAACUCGCCUACAUGAAGUCGGAAUCGCUAGUAAUCGCGGAUCAGCACGCCGCGGUGAAUACGUUCCCGGGUCUUGUACACACCGCCCGU